rnacentral:rRNA from 1 species
AGAUUGAACGCUGGCGGCAGGCCUAACACAUGCAAGUCGAGCGGUAGAGAGGUGCUUGCACCUCUUGAGAGCGGCGGACGGGUGAGUAAAGCCUAGGAAUCUGCCUGGUAGUGGGGGAUAACGCUCGGAAACGGACGCUAAUACCGCAUACGUCCUACGGGAGAAAGCAGGGGACCUUCGGGCCUUGCGCUAUCAGAUGAGCCUAGGUCGGAUUAGCUAGUUGGUGAGGUAAUGGCUCACCAAGGCGACGAUCCGUAACUGGUCUGAGAGGAUGAUCAGUCACACUGGAACUGAGACACGGUCCAGACUCCUACGGGAGGCAGCAGUGGGAAUAUUGGACAAUGGGCGAAAGCCUGAUCCAGCCAUGCCGCGUGUGUGAAGAAGGUCUUCGGAUUGUAAAGCACUUUAGUGGAGAAGGCAUUAACCUAAUACGUUAGUGUUUGACGUUACGACAGAAUAGCACCGACUAAUCUGUG